rnacentral:lncRNA from 1 species
ACUUGGGGGGCGGCCUCGGUGUGCCAAAAAUAGGCCACGGGCACAGCCGCGCCCAAAAAUCAGCCCCCGAAGGUCGGGGUCCCAAGACCCCCCAGCGGAAAAAUGGCCAAAAAACGGGUGGGCUAUAGCCUUGGUGGGGGGCGUGGGCGAAGUUCGUCCGCGGGACUCGGAAUGGCACCAUACUUGGCGGGCGGCCUCCGUGUGCCAAAAAUAGGCCACGGACACAGCCGCGCCCAAUAAUCUGCCCCCGAAGGUCGGGGUCCCAAGACCCCCCAGCGGAAAAAUGGCCAAAAAACGGGUGGGCUAUAGCCUAUGUGGGCGUGGGCGAAGUUCGUCCGCGGGACUCGGAAUGCCCCCAGACUUGGCGGGCUUCCUCCGUGUGCCAAAAAUAGGCCACGGGCACAGCCGCGCCCAAAAAGCAGCCCCCGAAGGUCGGGCUCCCAAGACCCCCCAGCGGAAAAAUGGCCAAAAAAUGGGUGGGCUAUAGCCUAUGUGGGGGGCGUGGGCGAAGUUCGUCCGCGGGACUCGGAAUGGCCCCAGACUUGGUGGGUGGCCUCCGUGUGCCAAAAAUAGGCCACGGGCACAGCCGCGCCUAAAA